GAUUUUUUCCCCCCAGUUUUCCUGAUAAAGAUGCUGCAGAAAGUCGAGCAACUGGCCAAGCGAAAUGAAGGCUCUUAACUUCUGCUUAAUUUCUGCUCCCUCAGGCUUUGCUUGCUUCCCUGGAAGGAAAUCCUCACCAGCACAGGGGGCCAGCACAAAGCUGAGAUGCUGCUUCAAUCCACCUAUGAAAUAUUUGGGCAGAUACAUGAGAUCUAAGGGAAGCCUGGGUCCCACAUAGCAUGCUUUUACUGAAAAUAUAAUCUGUACAUAUGCACAGCAGCCGUGUGCACGGGGGAACUCCUGCCUCUCUUGGGAAGAUGGGGCCAUAGGCUCCAUUCAUUCGAGAUACUGGAGACCAAGGCUAUUUGAAGGAGAACUGGUGUUCGGAAGGAUUUCCCCUCAUGCUUCCGAUCACCACAGCACAGAUUGUCUGCACACCUUUCAAAUCUUACUGAAAAAAAAAGAAAAACUAACUUCCUACCCUCUAAUUUCAGUGGGUACUGCCUGUACUCACCACUCUGGACUGCAAGAAUCACUCCUAACUGAAAGCAGUACACAACCACUGUGGUCAGCAGCUUUUAGAGAUGGGGUCCAUAAAUCAACAUGCUCACAGAGCCUGAGAUUUGCAGUAGAUUCAUGACCCGCUCUCAUGCCCACAGGCCAUUAGCCACAAGGCCACCUAAUAGCAAGGACACAGUGGCAAUUCCAUGGAGAGGCCAAGCAGCCUACAUGCACAUGGGCAUGCUCCAACUUCAUGUGAGGGACCACAGCAAAGCCACUGGGAGAAGGAAAUCUGCAGUGCUGGGAUCUCUGAACUGAACUUUGUCCUAGUACAGCAUCCAAAACAAGCAACACGGAAAGACACUCAUUUUCCAGGCAAACUCACUAUGUGUUCCAUAGGCAGUGGAAACAGAAAUAUUAGUUCUUCCAUGAAAGCACCACCUGUGCCUAGUCUGGCUUUAAACACAAUCCCAAACCCAUAUUUAGAUGCAUACAAUCCAGGUUCAGCUCCUAUCGUCACUGAGCACCUGCAAUCCCAGCCAGACAGGAAGGAUUUCUGCAGAGCUCAUGGUCAAGCUUUGAGGCCUGAGCCAUCUGACCAAUCUCUUAAUGCCAUGUCAGGAUGAGAACUGCAGCCUGGGGCACUCACUUCUCUCCUACAACACUCACACACCUUGUGUAGCAUACGGCUGCUGUGAUCUAGUGGCUCCACUUUAUUCAGUCUGCGUAGCCAAUAUCCAGCCCAUACCUCAAAUGGUGUCAGUCACAGCACUGCCACUGCACAUAUGUGGCAGGGGGCCCCAAUCAGCAUCACCCCACGUUUCAUAUGGGGCAGCCCCAUGCCCUCCAGGGUGCUGGCAAACAAUGUGUGUGUGUCCCAGGGCACAGGCAUGGUGAGGAGUACCAAGAAUGCAGUGCUUGUGCCUGUUUUCUCACUGCAAACACUGAAAGUGCUUGACUGGGGUAGAAGAUAAACUCUUCCUUCUGCCCCUGCUUUGCUGGAUUAGAUGGAUUCACUCACACACCAGUUACAACUCUGAGUUCAAGUGGAAGAUUUCCCUUUCCUUCCUCUUGAAUGUUUCUUGUUACAGGAGAUUGAGUCAGUGGGACACCUGGGGAUCAGACCGAACGGAUUCCAGCACAGAAUCAGAGCCUCAAAGCCAAAUCCCACUAUCACUGAAAUGUUGCUAGGUAUCUUUGUUAUUCUGCCCAAUACCUCAUGUUUCGGUGCUGUCAAAAUGAAGGUGUUCUCUUAGCACACGGAUGCACUGGCUGGCAUUGUUACUGUGCUCUAGGAGCAUUAUGUGGUGCUUCCAGCUCCUGGAACCCAACAGGGGCUGCUGGAGCUCACCCUCCUGCCUAAGGAACCUGCAGGUGCAAGGAUAAACAGUGAGAUACACAUAAAAACAGGUGUGGGGAGAAGCGCUAUGGGGAAGGCAAGAGAACGUUACAGAUUUAUCUAAGAAAAAAAAAA